GCACUAGCAGAUUCAGGAAAGAGCCUCUGACUGCUUGUACGGGGCUCGAUUCAGCAGAAGCUCUUACUACUACGGUGCAUCUCCGAACUUCUGCACUGCACACGCACUGCAAUCAGCAGACUCUAGGAUGUAACCAUUUCCAAAUGUUUUUAUUCUGCUUCUGCUCUCUUUUGCGUAUUUUUUGUAUUAUGUUUUUUUAAAUCCAUUUAUUGUUUUGCAAGGAAUAACUUACCAAAAACAUGACUGGGACAUACUUUUUUGGCCGUCAGAGCCAAAACUGUGCUGAAUGCAAGACCUAACCGAAACUCUUAACGGAAUUAUAACAUCUGGGCGGCGUUUGGUUCGGUUCUCGUGGUUUCCCGCUCUGGAUUUCGGAUUUAACGUUUUUUAUCGGGAUGGAAGGCCGGGAAUUCGCUCCUCCGCCGCACCUUUUGGCAGAGCGAGGCGCGCUGGUUCACAGAGCCGCCUCGAGGAUCACUCAUGCCGGGCACACGACAGUGCAGCAUCCCGGUCACUUUCAGCCUGGGAAAUAUUACACCUCACAUAUAGCGAUGCCUCCACAUUCAGGGGGGACGAGUGAAAGUGACUAAAAGAGAGAGAGGGAGACGAGGAAAAAGAGUGGCUGAAUGUUUCCACCUGGUUGGUAAUCUGGCCCAAUUACCUCUGCUUGGUAGCACAGAGCCUGGCGUGUUCCAUCGCCACUCACUAUGCCUGCCAGCUGAGUGCUGUGAGCGAGUGUACGGCACUCUAUGUGUGUGUGUGUGUGUGUGUGUGAUUCAGCAGAGCUUCGUUGGCAGAAGCGACAUCGUUCCCCCCUCCCCUCCACCCCACGGUCUCUUCUUUCACUGUUUGAUGUGCCUCAGUAGGCCGAGAGAGUCCCAACGCCCUGGCCCGACUGCACCCAUCACCGCUGCCCCUCAAACAAUGCAUCUGCACGUCAUCAACGCUGGCAGAAAAUCAUUUAUUAAUAUUUGAUA